rnacentral:rRNA from 1 species
GAUGAACGCUAGCUACAGGCCUAACACAUGCAAGUCGAGCGACCGGCGCACGGGUGAGUAACAUGUAUCCAACCUGCCCUUUACUCGGGGAUAGCUUUACGAAGUAAAUAUUAAUACCCGACACAAAGGACGGGGAUGCGUUACAUUAGGUUGUUGGUUAGGUAACGGCCCACCAAGCCUUCGAUGGAUAGGGGUUCUGAGGGGAAGGUCCCCUGAAUUGGAACUGAGACACAGACCAAACUGGUACGAGGGGCAGCAGGGAGGUAUAUUGGUCAAUGGGCGUUAACCUGAACCAGCCAAGUAUCGUAAAGGAUGAAGGCGUAUGAGUCGUAAACUUCUUGUAUAUAAGAAGAUGUAUUAUAUGAAUAAGGAUCGGCUAACUCCGUGCCAGCAGCCGCGGUAAUAC